rnacentral:misc_RNA from 1 species
AAGGAUCAUUACUUGGCCUUGGGCCGCUCACGGGGGACCGUCGCUUGCGACGGCGCUUCCGGGGGUGCUUAGCCCUUGAUCACUACCUUGACUAUGCGCACCUUUGUUGUUCCCUCGGCAGGAUUCGUCCUGCCGGCAGGAACCCCUUAAACCUUUUGCAAUGAGCAUUAAACUUCUGAAACAAACCUAAUUAUUUACAACUUUCAACAAUGGAUCUCUUGGUUCUG